CAAUAGCGUAUAUUAAAGUUGUUGCAGUUAAAAAGCUCGUAGUUGGAUUUCUGGUCGGAAGCUCCUGUCCUCUGAUGAGCGUACAAGUGCGUCCUACCAUCCUUCUGUUAACCUUUAAGGCUUUCGCGGCUUUCUAGGGGCUCAGAUAUUUUACCUUGAGAAAAUUAGAGUGUUUCAGGCAGGCUAGCGCCGGAAUACAUUAGCAUGGAAUAAUGGAAUAGGACUUUUGCCUCUUCUGUUGGUCAUGAGGCUCGAGUAAUGAUUAAUAGGGAUAGUUGGGGGCAUUAGUACUUAACUGUCAGAGGUGAAAUUUUCGGAUUUGUUAAAGACUAACUUAUGCGAAAGCAUUUGCCAAGGAUGUUUUCAUUA
rnacentral:rRNA from 1 species